CGUGGGUUAGUCCCGCACGAGCGCAACCCUUGCCUUAGUUGCUACGAAAGGGCACUCUAAUGGGACUGCCGGUGACAAACCGGAGGAAGGUGGGGAUGACGUCAAGUCCUCAUGGCCCUUAUGGGUAGGGCUACACACGUCAUACAAUGGCUGGUACAAAGGGUUGCCAACCCGCGAGGGGGAGCUAAUCCCAUAAACCCAGUCGUAGUCCGGAUUGUAGUCUGCAACUCGACUGCAUGAAGUCGGAAUCGCUAGUAAUCGUGGAUCAGAAUGUCACGGUGAAUACGUUCCCGGGUCUUGUACACAC
rnacentral:rRNA from 1 species